ACGGUUUAAGAAUGAAUCGAGCCAGCUCGAUCCAAGCUAUCGUUUUAGUCUAUUUGUAUCUAUUAGUGCUGAAGUGGAAAAACUUGAGAUACACAUCUGGUAACUAUGCAAUAAAAGAUAAGAUAAACCUCACUCGAACCAUAGACCUUGCAAUAAGGUUUAAAAAUAUAUUUGUAGCAGUGAAAGGCGUACGUUUUACUAACAAUGCAUAAAGUGAGCAUGGAUUUACCAGACAUAGAGAUCAAUGAACACUGCCACGAUAUACUUUCCUUUAUCCAUCAAUUGGUUCCAACUAGUAACUGUCAGUUGUAAAGGCUGUUUCACAAGAAUGUUUACUACGAAAACCUGACUGGUUUCAUAGGAAGAUUCCAAAACAUUGUGAGCUAUAUAUAUUGAGGGGUUAUGUUAUAUUUUCAAAAAUUAUGAAUUCAGGAGAGUGGUAUUAUAAUUUCGUUGACUGAAAGAAUGAUUUUGAAUACUACCAUUUUCCUUAUUGUGGUUAAAUUUCAAUGAAAGAUUAUAUCAAAUAUCUAUAAUUUAAAUAUUUUGAAAAUGUUAUCAUCUUUGUUUGAAAAAAAGGGGAUGUUCAACUAUAUUUGGCAUCUCAUGUUAAUUCCUAAUUUAUGUUGGUUGAAAAUGAGAAUUUUGUAGUGAAAAAUGCAUUCAUUGGGAAACAUUUUCAAAAUAUUGUUAGAUCAGCAUAUUAUACAUUCUGAUACUCUUAUAUACUUCUAUAUAUUCUGUGAUUUCAGCAAAGAUGAUAUUAACAUUAAGUUGAAACAAAUAAAUUUUUGAGAACUU